rnacentral:rRNA from 1 species
AUAAACGCUGGCGGCGUGCUUAACACAUGCAAGUCGAACGAAGUUUUUCCUUCGGGAGAAACUUAGUGGCGGACGGGUGAGUAACGCGUGGGUAACCUGCCCUGUACAGGGGGACAACAGCUGGAAACGGCUGCUAAUACCGCAUAAGCCCUUAGCACUGCAUGGUGCAUAGGGAAAAGGAGCAAUCCGGUACAGGAUGGACCCGCGUCUGAUUAGCCAGUUGGCAGGGUAACGGCCUACCAAAGCGACGAUCAGUAGCCGAUCUGAGAGGAUGUACGGCCACAUUGGGACUGAGACACGGCCCAGACUCCUACGGGAGGCAGCAGUGGGGAAUAUUGCACAAUGGAGGAAACUCUGAUGCAGCGACGCCGCGUGAGUGAAGAAGUAUUUCGGUAUGUAAAGCUCUAUCAGCAGGGAAGAAAAUGACGGUACCUGACUAAGAAGCACCGGCUAAAUACGUG